rnacentral:rRNA from 1 species
GAUCCUGACUCAGGCUGAACGCUGGCGGCGUGCUUAACACAUGCAAGUCGAGCGAAGCACUUAAGUUUGAUUCUUCGGAUGAAGACUUUUGUGACUGAGCGGCGGACGGGUGAGUAACGCGUGGGUAACCUGCCUCAUACAGGGGGAUAACAGUUAGAAAUGGCUGCUAAUACCGCAUAAGACCACAGUACUGCAUGGUACAGUGGUAAAAACUCCGGUGGUAUGAGAUGGACCCGCGU